AUGGUCACCCCCCUGCGCGCCAUGGCGCCCGGGGACGCGGAUCCCUCGCCAGGGGGAGCCAGCGGUUCCCAGCCGGAUCUGGGAGGGAGCGGCGACGACGUCAUCUUCUUGAGGGAGGCGCCGGGGCCGACUCCUCCGACUGGGGCGGCCCAAGGCGGCCAGACUGAGCCUGCGCCCGCACAGUCGGCGGAAGGCGAGCCGGCCGCGGGAGCUGCGGUGGCGGUCCGGGUUCCGCCAAGCCGGCGCGCAGGGAAGGCCGCGUCGGAGCCGCAGAAAGCGGCGUCGGAGCCACAGCCGGCCGUGGGCUCCAGCUCGUCGGCCCGAGACGCGGAGGCGGCCAGCGCUACCUCAGGGUGGACGCCAGGCGGAGGGACAUCCGUGGUGAACAUCGCUGCGCAAGACAUCCGGACCCGGCUCCAGGGCCAAGCCGCGGCGCUGAGGCAGUUCACCGACGAAUUUCUCGCCACGCGGGCUGCCAUCCGGGACUAUCACAACCUCCGAGCGGCCGCCUUCAACUCCCAGGCUCGGGAGCUGACGCAGAAGACCGCCGAUCUCACUGAAAGCCGAGCGGCCAACGCCAGUCUGAGGGCGCAGCUGGGGGAGUCCCAGACUACUCUUCGUGCCAAGGACGCGGAGCUCGCCGCCUUGGUGCAGGAGCGCGACCGCCUGGUCAAGAAGCUGGCCGACCAGGAGGAAGGCCACAAGGCUGCGCUGAAAGCUGCGCAGGAUCGCGAGGCCGCCCUUCAGGCCGAGUUCGAGACGGAGGCGGCCGGCUGGGCAGAGGUCAAACAGACUCUGGUCUCUGGCUAUGGCCAGAUUGAGGACCUGGUUGACGAGUACUUCCCCGGCUAUUCUACUACCGCUAGCCAGGCCGUCGAAGCCCGUCGCCAGGCGAAGAGGCAAGCCGGCUUCGAGAUCUCGCCAACCGCCGGCCGUUCGCUGGAGGAGCAGCUCCUGGCGAUCCAGGCUCGCAUCCAGCCGGCUCACAGGCUGCUCCGCCGGCUUCAGCGUGCCGGGUCGCAGGUCUUGGCCGCCCUCUGGCCCGGCCAAGUGGUCCCGCGCACUCCCAGCCGGACCGCCGACUGGCUGGAGGUGGCCGUCGGCCGCUUCGAGGCUUGGAAGGCGUCAGCGGCUCGCUCCGGCGCCAGGCGGGCGCUGGAGUUCGUCAAGGCCUGGUAUCCCGGCCUGAACCUGGACCAGCUGGCGACCUGGCGGCAGCAAGCCGACACGGAGCUGGAGCCGGCGCGGCCGGCCAUCAUUCGGCGGGCUUCAGCGAUCGCCGACUACACCGACACCAACGUCUUCGCCCCCGAGGUGGACGACAAUGGAGUCGCCCAGCCGGAAGAUUGGUUCGGGCUGGACCCGGCGCACGGCGAGGACUCGGCGGAGGAGAUCGACUCCAGCGACGAGGGCGAAGAGGAGGAGGAGGAGGGUGAAGACGCCGAUCCAGCUGGUGAAGUAGCCGGCCAGCCUGACCGCGCCUCCAGCACUACGUCGCGUGCGAGUGCGUCUCCUGUCGCGGGAAGUGGUCAAGCCGGGACCAGCUAG
rnacentral:rRNA from 1 species